UAAUACGUAGGGAGCGAGCGUUGUCCGGAAUCAUUGGGCGUAAAGAGCACGUAGGUGGAUCAAUUAGUCUGCUGUGAAAGUCGAAGGCUCAACCUUCGAAAGCCGGUGGAUACUGUUGAUCUAGAGUACGGAAGAGGCGAGUGGAAUUCCUGGUGUAGCGGUGGAAUGCGCAGAUAUCAGGAGGAACACCAAUAGCGAAGGCAGCUCGCUGGGACGUAACUGACACUGAGGUGCGAAAGCGUGGGGAGCAAACAGG
rnacentral:rRNA from 1 species